rnacentral:lncRNA from 1 species
GGUUCCAUUUGGUAAAAAGAGUUAUUUUUCACGUGAAAAGGAAAAAGGGGCAGAAAAGUGGAAAAAGGGCAAAAGAGAACCAGAGAACAAGGGUUGGAGAGAGGAAGAGCUCGAAGCUGCAGGAUUUGCCGGAUUAACUCAGGUAAGGGGGGUUUAUCAUCGUUUAAUGGGUAUUAUGGGAUAAUAUGUCAUGGGUAGUGAUAAACCAUUGAUUGAUCUCUGAAUUGGAUGAUUAUGAUGAAAUUGUGAAAUAUUGGAUGAACGAAAUUGGGUUAUGA